rnacentral:rRNA from 1 species
AAACUCAAAUGAAUUGACGGGACCCGCACAAGCGGUGGAUGAUGUGGUUUAAUUCGAUGCAACGCGAAAACCUUACCCACCUUUGACAUGGCAGGAAUCCUGAAGAGAUUUGGAGUGCUCGAAAGAGAACCUGCACACAGGUGCUGCAUGGCUGUCGUCAGCUCGUGUCGUGAGAUGUUGGGUUAAGUCCCGCAACGAGCGCAACCCUUGCCAUUAGUUGCUACGAAAGGGCACUCUAAUGGGACUGCCGGUGACAAACCGGAGGAAGGUGGGGAUGACGUCAAGUCCUCAUGGCCCUUAUAGGUGGGGCUACACACGUCAUACAAUGGCCGGUACAGAGGGUAGCCAACCCGCGAGGGGGAGCCAAUCCCACAAAGCCGGUCGUAGUCCGGAUCGCAGUCUGCAACUCGACUGCGUGAAGUCGGAAUCGCUAGUAAUCGCGGAUCAGCAUGUCGCGGUGAAUACGUUCCCGGGUCUU